rnacentral:rRNA from 1 species
UACGAAGGGGGCUAGCGUUGUUCGGAAUCACUGGGCGUAAAGGGCGCGUAGGCGACCGUUCAAGUCGGGGGUGAAAGCCUGUGGCUCAACCACAGAAUGGCCUUCGAUACUGGACGGCUCGAGACCGGAAGAGGUCAGUGGAACUGCGAGUGUAGAGGUGAAAUUCGUAGAUAUUCGCAAGAACACCAGUGGCGAAGGCGGCUGACUGGUCCGGUUCUGACGCUGAGGCGCGAAAGCGUGGGGAGCAAACAGG